rnacentral:lncRNA from 1 species
GUACUUUCUUAGUUAAAUUUAAAAUAAGUAACCCAUUCAAAUCAAUAAUAUAACUCAGUUAUAUUUGAAUGAAAAUAAAAAAAAAAAAAUCUGAAGUCUCGGUCGUGCUUUGUAAGCUCCUAUAUAUAUUUUUUUUAACAAGAAUAAGAACAGUGGUACCAAAAAUUCAGAAAUAAAGCACAACGCUGCCAAUUCUUUUAAAAUUUAACAGAGAAAUUUAAAAGAUAGAAUAAAACUUUAGAAAGGAAAAUGGUGCCCACGGUACUAAACAUAUUCUAAAAUCUUUAUGGCAAUAAUACAUAUAAUAUAAUAUAAUAUAGAAUAGUUAAAAGAAUAAAUUUAAUUGAGACCGAGAAUGAUCGCAUGAACUUAAAAUAAUAUUUUAUAAUGAAAAGUUACUGAGAAAGCAAUAUAGUUUCGGGUAUUCUAAAGUAAAAGUCUAUCUAUCGUUUAAUUUCUUUAUUCUCUCUUGGAACGGUUCUAAUAUAAUAUGGUUGAACAAAUUAUUAUACAACAACCAGAUACUCUCUCCAAGGUUGUGGAAUUCAAUUUUGUAUUUAAAUUAUAUAUAUAUAUAUAUAUAUAUAUAUAUAUAUAUAUAUAUAUAUAUAUAUAUAUAUAUUAGAAAACUUUAAAUUAGUGAAUAAAAUUUACUAAUCAUAAUUUCAUUAGAAAUAUUAAAUUCUAUAAGAUUCAUCUUUAUUUGAGAAUAAUUCUUUUGGAAGAAAAAUAAUUUAUUGUAUUUAUUUCGAGUCUUAUAGUAUUUACAAUUUGUCAAGAUUAGAAUUCAUCCAUUUCAUUCUCAUGCAUUCACAAACAUCUCAAUUUCAUCCAAUAGGUAUUCAAUUUCAAUUCUAGGUUCAAUCAUAUUUCUCAAUACAUCAAGAACAAAAAUUCAUGCAUGGGUGAUCAAUCCAAAGCAAGCAUUAAGCAUAGAAAUUGAAUACUAACAUGAAUUGGAAAAGCAAAUAUCAUUAACAUCACAAAACACAUAAGAAUUCCAUGUUUUACAACUAAUCUCAACAAAUAGGAAAAACCCUCCAUGGUGAAGAACUUAGGGUUCUACAAAGUUGAAGAGAUAGGGAAGAAAUUAGAACCAAAGAGAAGAUGCAAAGUCUUUCCCAAGGUUCUUGGCAGCUGCUCCAUGCUCCAUUUGCGCCUCCCCUUUGCAAUUCUAUCUCCAAUUUGUGACCCAUCUUCUUUCUCAACCCAAAAAGGGGCAAAAUCACUGUUGAUGAAGCUUGAAGCUCAAAGAGGAGAAGGGAGAGAUUCCCAGCACCCCAAGCAGCCUCUAAGGCCUUUCCUAGUCACUCUAGGUGAAGAAUGAAGUGUAGGAGGAGAAGAAUACCCAGAACUCGCGAGACCCAUGUUUAAAUAACCCAUUUUGACACAUCAGCGUCGCUACCGCUCAAUAGUAGAGCCCUAGCGCUAGUCUUCAUGGUAGCUCUCUGGAAAUGUGGCGCUCAAUGCCAGAACCACUAGGAGUUCUCUGUAAGUAUGGCGCUCAACGCUAGAAAGUGUCGCUCAGCGUUGGCGGUUUUGACAGCAUUCUAAAAUUCAGGUUAUUGUGCAAUUCCAAAGACAUCCAACAUGAGUAUUUCCUUCAAAUUGAUUUUUUAUCGUCCCAAAACAUGUUCCCUUGAAUUCUUGCUUGUUUUCUUCUACUAGAAGUGCUUCCUAUUCAUUUAUUUCACAACUCAAACAAAGAGAUUAGAUGUAAAAAUAAGCAUAUACUAAGUAAAACACAAGAAAACUACAGAACACACUAAACUUGAGGAUAAAACAAAGUAAAAACUAUGAAGAAGUUGAUUUAUUCACCAAAAUAUAAACACAAAAACACGUAAAAUCAACCGUUAUCAUGCUCCUAGUCUUGGUAUCUAAGAUGUUGUGUUUUUUAGUAUGUUAUCUAAGAUGUUGUAUUAUCUUUUUUUUUUAGCAUUGUAUCUUUGAUGUCUUGAAUAUGAAUGCACUUGUUCCUUUCAUCUUAUUUAAAAUUUUCUUGAAACUUUUGAUUGAUUGUUUUGUUGAAAGGGAGCUUAUAUUUAGGAGGAGUCUUUCCUCCUAAAGAACCUUUUUGCUUAUGACAAAAAAAGGGGGAGAACAAAUACUAACAACAUAUAUGUGUUAUUCUUGGUUAAAGCUAAUGAUAUUUGUGUUUUGUCUAAGUAAAAACAAUGCAGGAUAGACAAAAUUGCCUUUAACAAAAAUGAUUUUUUAUCAUCGUCAAAAAGGGGAAAAUUGUUACCAAUGAGAAGCAUUGAUGCAUUGAAGAGAUUUUGAUGAUGAUGCACUUAAAGACUUGAAGGAACUUCUACAUACAUUGUUAAAGCACCUUUUGUAGAAACAUUUGUAUUAGGACUUGUCUUUCACUUGUAAGCAUUUAAAUGUCAUGUAACUUACUCUUUAGUAUAGUUUUAUCAGAUAAUCGAUUAUCAUAAGUAGAAUUUAAAAAGAACUUCGAUUCGGUAAUAAUCGAUUAUCACUAAGGAUAAUCGAUUAUCACCGAAAGUUAUAAUUGUCCAGGGUUCGGCAAUAAUCGAUUAUCACUAAGAAUAAUCGAUUAUCACUUUUUUCAAUACCUAUAACGGUCUAACUAAUCGAUUAUCACUUUUGGUAAUCAAUUAUAACUUGUAGUUGGGAGCUGUCUUUUCAUUUUCUGACCCCUGGCCUAUAAAUAGAAGUCUCCAUAUCUUGAGAAGGUUACCUAAAUUAUUGUAGAGUAUAGAAUUGGUUGAGGAGCUCUAAGUGUUUAAGUGAUUGUUUGAUUAAGUGCUUGAAGAAGGAGAAGCUUAUCUUAGUGUGUCUAAGGUGAAAAUGGUUCUCUAGCAAGUUGUUCAAGUUGUUCUUCAUUCCCUCGUUUAUCGAAGGAAGGUGUUUUAUAUUUUUGUUUAGUUCUUUACACAUCUUGUAUCAUUAAAUUGGUUUUAGUAAAAAGUUAAUCACUUAUUUUAGAGUGAUUAACAACUAAACAUAAAAUCCUUUUAGUGAUUUUUUCUAUCUCUUUAUCUUUUUAGUGUAAUUUGUUCGUUAAAAGAAAAAACGAAAAUUUUAAUAGAACCAAUUCACUCCUCUUCCUUCUCUUGGUUUUGUGUCCGAUCACACUUUUAAAUAUUAUGUUGUUUGAUACCAAUUCCUACAAUCUUUCCUUUAUUGUAUAUCUAUUAUAAUCUCUCACAUUAAUAUAAGUGUAUGCUAUGUAUGUCGCCUAUUUAAGAAAGAAAAGUUGCAAAAUAUAAGCAAGCUUUUCUAAAAAGACUAUGUCAUAUCAUAAUAUGUUUUCUUAUUAUGUUCUUAUGCCUUGGUAGUUUAACAAUGUCACUUAUAAAAUUCAUGUAAGUGAUUGGUGUAUUGCAUUAUCAUCGAUAUGAUUGUUUAGUGAAACAUAUGAUUAUGUUGAUAAUAUAUGUUCAUCCAUUUUUUUGUUAGCUUAUCUUUUGUGUUUUGUUUGCGUGGUUUCUACAAUAAUUGUGUAUGUAACAUAAGAGCAAAUGAUAUUGCAAGUGAACAUGUACAACACUAAACAAGUGUUGAUGUUACCUUAGUUAUAGGAAAAUUUGUAGCAUGUAUUUAGAAUUUUAUACUCCUCUGAACAAAAUCUUAUGAUAUUAAUUAUAUUUAGUAUUAUUUUGGAAAAACCCGAUUCUAGAGGAAUAUAAAUAUCUUUAUAUGCAAAUGGAUUUUUUAUAAUUGUAAGAUAGUGUAAUAGACUAUAUGUUGUUAAAACUUCCUGCUAUAUCUUAUUAUUGAUAUCUUAAAUGAAAAAUUAAUUGAUAUGCUCACCAUUUUAACACUCAUCAAAGUUGUUUAGUUUUUAGAAAUUAGACAAGCAAAUGCAGAAUUAAAUUAAUUGAUAUGCUCACCAUUUCAAUGAGCAGUAAGAUUUACACGAAAGUGAAUAAAUGAAUCCGGUUACUUCGUUUCCAUUCUCUAUCCAUAUCCCUCCUCUAUCAUACAUAUUCUUAUUCUGGUGAAUAAGAGUUUUAUGUUACAAAUCAAAAUUGUGGUGGACUUGAAAAGAUCACAUCUAGUUUCACUUAAAUUUCUCAUUCUAAAUUAGAAAGAGCAGCUCAUCUCCCAGCAAGAAUAGUAUAACAAGUUGCACACAUGUCCCCCUUCCCUCUUCACAACCUGUACAAAAAGUCCCAAUGAAUAACUAAUAUGCACACGAGAGCAACUGCACUUUUGACCUAGCUGCAUCAUCAUCAUCGCAUAAAGCAUGCAGCCAAUCAAUGCUAGCUGCUGGCGGGCAAGUAACAAUCAAGAAAUUUGGAAUCAUUUUCCAGCCCAUGCUGCAGUUCCUCCUGCAGAGUGACAAAGGAGCUGUUCGUUGCGCACAUAUAAUGAUCACGUCAUUCAGUAGGGAAUGACAUAUGGAAGAGCAAAAGCAUCUGCCUGCUCUAUAUGCAGAGCUUCUGCCCAUACCUGUGGUGUAUCCCCAACAUCUGAACAUUUUAUCAUGGAUUUUCUUUCAGGAAGAUUGCCGCCAAAUAACCACUCCUCAUCAAAAUCAGUCCAAUGAUCCACCUUAGGUAUUGAAUAUACCUGGUCUAGGUACUUGGUAUCUGGAUGGGGUGGCUUUAAAUAGGCUUCAGUUAACAAAUCAGUCGACACAAUAGCAGUGUGAGUCUUCUUGGAAGAAGCUGAAAAUGGCUUAGCCUCAAUGAUGCCAUUUAUCUUGCAUUCUUUGUUUUCUACCUUAACACAGUUGUCUUCCUGUGGCCUAUAUGAAGAAUCUGGAGUGGAAAUUUGAUAAAGUUCCAGCAUCCUUCCAUUAUCAGUGAAAGAGUGAGAGGAAGACAGUUUUGGAAACUUACUGGGAAAACUGUCAUCAACUGUAAAAAAAUUAAACUUGUCAGUCAACCGCAGAUAAUGUGUAAGCUUGAGAAUAUUGAUCAAAAUGAAUGAAUGAAAAAAUAUCAAUAUAAACAUUACAUCAGUGAAAACCCACCGUCGACGUAAUAUCUCAUUUUAGCUCAUUGGGCCAGCAAUAUACUACUCCAAAUCCAAUAAGUGAAACAUCUUAUCAAAUUUUAAAUAUUUACUUUAUAGAAUCUGAGUAAAUGACGAUGAUAAGACUCAUCAUAAGUAACACUCACCACGUGGAACUCCAUUUGAGUCAAUGUCCUUUCGUUUUUUGAGAUUUUCCCCUCUAACAGGGACCUCAAGGCUGUUUCUAGAGAGCUGUGCAAAAUCGUUAAGUCCAAUUUUGUUGUUUUCUUUUGAUUUAUUUUGGUCUGCUGUUUUAUGUUCAUUAUGCUCCCUAGCUUUCUCGUCCUUUUUCUUCUCUUUAUCCCUGUCUUUGUUCUUCCCAUGCCCUUUCUUCUCCUUCUCUUUAUCUUUCCUUUUAUCUCUUCUUUUAUCAUCUUUUUUAUCCUUAACCUUUUCAUUUCCUUCAUCUUUCCUUUCCUUAACCUUUCCUUCUUUUGUCUUUCGCCUGGCCAUUUCUUUAUCUUCAUCUUUCUUUUCCUUAACCCUUUCGUUCCCUUCAACUGUUGCUUCAGAAUUCUUUUCAAAAGGCUUUCCCAAAUGUUUGGGUAUUCCAUCAACUCUAGGAUGAAAAUUUCCACCAUGAUUUGGAACAGGUUUAUUUCCAAUAGGUCGGACCUCUGGUUGAAUUUCCCUCCCAUCAAUCUUUUUAACAUCAAGACCCUUAUCCACAAAUUUUUCAUUACCAUCAUAACAGGUGCCACCGGCUUUAGCCACCAACCUAAAAGUUCCUUCAUCUUUUCUAUUGUUUGUAUUAAUAGAUUUAUGAACAAAUUGAUUGUCAGCUCCUCCAUUAUCAUCCCUAAUCCUCCGGUUCAACUCCUGGAGGAACUUUGAAGUCUGGUUCUCCUCAGCCAAAUGAAUUUUCUCUCCUGCCUUCUCCCCAUUGCUACCAGUACACUGUUUGAUGAGUCUGUUCUCAAACAUGAUGUCCUUCUUAUCAUCUUGCUUAAUUGCAUUUUGAUGGAGAUUACCAUUGAGGACCUCAGCUUGUCUUGGAAAGCCUUUGUCAUCUGCAGUACUGAUUUUACUUUUAUCUCUGUCUUUGUUCUUAUCCUUGUCCUUAUCUUUCUUCUUCUCUCUGUGUUUUUCCUUUUUGUCCUUCUUUUCUUUAUGCUUUCCAUCUCUUCCUUCUUUGUCCCUCUUUUCCUUAGUUUCCCUCUUCUCUUUGUCUUUCUUAUCUUUCUUAUGUUUUCUCUCCUUCUGCUUUUCCUGCAAAUAACAUUGUGAGAAGAGAUAUUAGCAAUUGUCAAGGGAAAAAUCAUAAUAGCUUCACAAUAUCUACACCCAAAAGCAACCAUGGAGAAGAAAGACAAAAUAUCACAAAUAAAACAGUUAAAUAAAUUUUAUUCUUGUCUUCGAGUCCAUCUUAAAUCUCAAAGGCAGAAACCACAACAAUUACAAGACCAAAAUCCAUUCAGUAUGCAAUAUAUCUACCUACAAAGUGUUCUGUAUAUCAGGAAAGUUUUCAGCCAACUAUAAUCAAACUGAGGGAAAACAAUAAUCCCAUCGAAGUCAAAAGUAAAAGUAUAAUAAUAAUUAAUGCCAAGUAAUUAAUCAGUCCCAAAGAUUAUAUUUUUAGACCAAGGAGAAAAACUUCCAAUGCUAGACGCUAAUGCUGGCGAUUGUGAUCUGUAUUUGCUUUCUUCUUUGCUUUUGGCACAGAUUACAAAUAUGUUACUGUUACAAAUUUGAAGAAUGUUCUGUUUUUAUCACUAAUAACGAACUAAAGAGAUCAGAAUAGCAACUGAUAUCUUAUUAUGAAGGAUGACAGGCAAAUACAAUAUACAUGUACAGAUGAACCAGCGAACUUUUCUUCUACUAUGUUCUUCCCUUCAGUUGCCCUACAGUAUUAGACCUACCUUUUGCAUCAUUGUAAUUAUGAGUCUUCCUUUUCAUUGGUGUUUACGUGAUUCACAAUCCACAAUCUAUAUGAAAAUAAUUACAAGCUUACUACUACAAGAGACUAGAUGUAGUAUUCAAACAUAAUGAUUUAAACUAAGAACGAUGCAUACAAAAUCAAUGUAGCACGCAGAAUGCUUAAAACUUAAUUCAAAUGACCUUUUUGUAUGCAAUAACACAAUCGAUAUGAAAACAAAAAAACCUAGCACAUUAUUCAAUUCCACACACAUACACACACACGUAUAUAUAUUAGAACUCAAUUAGGAAAAGGAAAAUUAUUAUGAUUGUUUAACUUCUAUUUCAACAUCCAUACAAAUGUGUCCUGCUGUGUAUAAAUACAACUUUGAAAGGAAUUAUGAAUCCAAUUGAAGGAAACCAAAAUGAUAAAGCAAUUAUUAUCAAAUAAUUCUAAGUCGAUCACAGUACUAAAGAAAAAUAUUUUUCUAGAUGUUUUCUUGUUUCUGUAUAAAUAAUCCAAAGCCAAUACUUAUUUAAGGGAAACAAAUCUCAUUCAGUGUCUAAAAUCAUUUUUAAAAAUAUCCUUUGACAUUAAAAAACAGAAUCCAAAUACACAAUUCACCACAGGUUUUCAAAACUCAAAACUUCUACACAGAUGAAACCCCAAUUCAAAUUAUGUAGUUCAAGUCAGUUCCUAUCAUGCAAUACCUUAAAGGUUUAAUCAUAGUUAAAACAACUAUUAAAAAAUGGUAACAGACUUGGUCACAGGAGUAAAUUGACUGCGUAACAUACCCCCUUCAAUGAAUCACCCAAUGCAAAUAACCCUAGCUGAUCAGCAAAAGUUCAACCUCCAUACUGAAACUCCCUGUCAGACUGUUCUAGGUUCCACUACUUUAUUUUUGUUGAAAACUUAUUUUUUCAAAAUGUAGCAUAAAAAAAAGAGAAUAUGGGACCAUACACCCCUACCAAUGUUGUCUCACAAAGAAAGUGAUAUUGUUUGCAUGUGUUACAUAGAAAGAACAAUUAAUAAAAGGAAUCAUCCCUUAAGAAACUUCAAGUGUAAAUCAAUUAUUCUUAACAUUUUCCAGAGAUGUAUUAGGCCUAGGUGGAUGAUUACUGAUGUUUACAACAAAAGUGUCAUAACUCGAUUACUGAUGACAAUUAUACAAUUACUGAUCACAAGAUAGUGUUUUGAAGAACCCAUACUCCCAAGAAACGAGAAAAAAAAUCCAUAACAUAUCCAUAUAUAUUAUGUAUAAGAGACUGAUUGCACUACUAUAUAUCUACCUUAAUAGGCAUACCAAAUAUUUUAUAGAUACCUCUUGAAAUAAAUGAUAACUCAACACUUCUAACAUGAAAGGCCAAAAACAGGCAGUGCAAUGACAAGAAUUAAAAUUAAGUGAUUAACACUUUUAAUAAUCAUAAUAUUGUUCCCUCUUCACCAGUAAUUACCUAAUCUCUCAACUCAAUGGUCUUGGAAAUUGUAUAUUAAAGUACAUUUGACAACAGUCCAAAAGUCCAAAUUGUGAACACAAUACAGAAAACAAACCUAACAUGAAACCUGUAUUUAAAUAUCUAUUAAGAUAAAUUCUUGUACAUCACAUGAACCAACUUGCAUCAGCAAAGAGUGCAUAACCCUAUUAUUCAUUGCAUGCCAAAACAUAUACAGUGAUGUAAGCCUCCAAUCAGCUUCAAUUGUACUCAUCCUAACAACCAUGGCUUAUUUAUAGUUCAAAAAGGACCAACUUAAAUGUCUAUGGCAACCAUUUUUACAAUAAGCUCCAAAAAAGCUGAACUUAUAUCACUAUUAAGGAAAAAAAAUUGAAGAUGGAAGUUAAUGACUGCAUUUG